CAGAGGGUAGUUUAAAUUUAGAAUGCUAGCUUUGGGAGCUAGCGGCGGGAGUUAAGUCUCUCCCCUCUGG
rnacentral:tRNA from 1 species